AAGGCAGCAAGGAGCAAGAUGCGGCGGGGAGGAGACCGGCCGUCGGCGUCGCUCCUGCUCUUCUCGCUGGGGCUUGUGCUCCUCUACUUCACCUCAGGCAGCACCGUUGGUCUCGUGGAGGGACAGGUACUACUACUACUACUUGAAAUCUACGCCUGCUCUUCACCUUUGUGUCUCCCUUGUCAAUUUGUCGUCAUCAAUUCUCAAAUGAUGAAUUGGAUUGGAUUGGAUCUGUCGUGGUGCGUGGGGAACAACGACCUGCAGAAAACCUGGUGCAUCGCCAAGCCGUCGGCGUCGAACGAGAUCCUGGCGCAGAACCUGGACUACGCGUGCUCCCAGGUGAGCUGCGCCGUGAUCCAGAAGGGCGGGCCGUGCUACUACCCGGACAGCCUCGUGUCCCGCGCCGCCGUCGCCAUGAACCUCUACUACGCCUACAGCGGCAGGCACGC
rnacentral:lncRNA from 1 species